UGACCUACGGGUGGCUGCAGUCGAGAGGCUUUGGCAAUGGGGGAAACCCUGACCAAGCGACGCCGCGUGGAGGAUGAAGGCCCUUGGGUUGUAAACUCCUUUUGCCGGGGAAGAAGUGCGAUCAGGUGAACAAUCUGGUCGUUUGACGGUACCUGGCGAAUAAGCUCCGGCCAACUCCGUGCCAGCAGCCGCGGUAACACGGGGGGAGCAAGCGUUGUUCGGAAUCACUGGGCGGAAAGGGCGUGUAGGCGGUCAGGUAAGUGGAAUGUGAAAUGCCCCGGCUCACCCGGGGACCUGCAUCCCAAACUGCCUGGCUUGAGUAUGGGAGAGGAUGGAGGAAUUCCUGGUGUAGCGGUGAAAUGCGUAGAUAUCAGGAGGAACACCGGUGGCGAAGGCGUCCAUCUGGCCCAAUACUGACGCUGAGGCGCGAAAGCUAGGGGAGCAAACGGGAUUAGAUACCCGUGUAGUCGAA
rnacentral:rRNA from 1 species